UAAGCGAAGGUAGGGAUUUUGCAGGCCAAACAAAACGCUUUAGCCAAAUAAAUGCCGAACAACCCCGACAAUGUUAACACCAGCAGCAGCAGCAUCAACGACAACAGAGAAUUUGUAUGGAAAAGUUUGUGCCACCAGCAUGCCGCAAUACAGCAUCAGUUGAGUUUAUUAUCUCCAUGGGAGUGGAUAAUGUGCUUUCGUUGUACUCUCUCACGCGAAGCAAGGCAUUCAGUGCUUUUUGGGGCUUGGCUGCCUAAAAGCGGGACAAAUUCGUCUCAAAUGCUGUACAUAUAAAGCGAAUGAUUUAUGUACGUUGUUUGGCUAGCGCAUAAAAUAGUUCGUACUUAGUUGUUAAUACAAUCCAAUGUUAAAUUCUCACUAAAAAGCAAAUAUAAUUACGGCGUAACAAACGCAGCGGAUAUUUAUUAAAAACAUAAACGCCAUGGCAAUUACAUUGUAUGAUCCUUAAAUUGGUGAUUCUCCAUUCUACGCCUGGAAAUUUAUAUAUUGCAGUAACUUAUCUCCAUUGAAAAAGCAUUUAUAGUACCUAAAAAAUACCUUACACAAGUUUACUCAAGUCCUUUGGACAAUAGAAUUUAAUUGUAUUUAAAAAAGUUUUGCUCUUAUAUA
rnacentral:misc_RNA from 1 species